UACGUAGGGGGCUAGCGUUGUCCGGAUUUAUUGGGCGUAAAGAGCGUGUAGGCGGCCAGGUAGGUCUGCUGUGAAAACUCGAGGCUCAACCUCGAGACGUCGGCGGAAACCAUCUGGCUAGAGUCCGGAAGAGGAGAGUGGAAUUCCUGGUGUAGCGGUGAAAUGCGCAGAUAUCGUAAGGAAGACCAGUGGCGAAGGCGGGUCUCUGGACAGUUCCUGACGCUGAGGCACGAAGGUCAGGGGAGGCAAACGGG
rnacentral:rRNA from 1 species